rnacentral:tRNA from 1 species
GCCGGGGUGUUGGAAUGGUAGACAAUAGUGACUUAAAAUCACUUGCUCGUAAGAGCGUGCGGGUUCGAGUCCCGCCCCCGGCA